rfam:Capsicum annuum cultivar Zunla-1 chromosome 2, whole genome shotgun sequence
GAAUCCAUGGCAGAAUGGUUAAAGCCCCCAACUCAUAAUUGGCGAAUUCAUAGGUUCAGUUCCUAUUGGAUGCA